AUUGAACGCUGGCGGCAGGCUUAACACAUGCAAGUCGAGCGGGGGAGGUUGCUUCGGUAACUGACCUAGCGGCGGACGGGUGAGUAAUGCUUAGGAAUCUGCCUAUUAGUGGGGGACAACAUUCCGAAAGGGAUGCUAAUACCGCAUACGCCCUACGGGGAAAGCAGGGGAUCUUCGGACCUUGCGCUAAUAGAUGAGCCUAAGUCGGAUUAGCUAGUUGGUGGGGUAAAGGCCUACCAAGGCGACGAUCUGUAGCGGGUCUGAGAGGAUGAUCGGCCACACUGGGACUGAGGCACGGCCCAGACUCCGACGGGAGGCAGCAGUGGGGAAUAUUGGACAAUGGGCGGAAGCCUGAUCCAGCCAUGCCGCGUGUGUGAAGAAGGCCUUUUGGUUGUAAAGCACUUUAAGCGAGGAGGAGGCUCUUAAGGUUAAUACCCUUGAUGAGUGGACGUUACUCGCAGAAUAAGCACCGGCUAACUCUGUGCCAGCCGCCGCAGUAAAAC
rnacentral:rRNA from 1 species